AACGAACCCCACUGUUGCUGUCCUUGGGCCCCUGUGCCGGCAACAGUCUUGGCGUCCCUGGGUGGGCUCGAGGCUGAAAUUUAGCCUUGCCCGGAUCCCUCCUGGCGGCCGACGGAUUACGACGACGCACGACGCCCAGAGCUCACUGGUGACUUCAUCGGGGGCCUCGGCGGAGACAUGAUUUGGUCGACCCCGGAGGGCACAACGGUGCAACGCGCUUGAUUUGUGGAGAAACAGCUGCGGGCGACGGCGUAGAACUGGACCCUUGGAUAAGGUAUACCAAAGAUUUGCAACCUCUCCCGCUGGAUGCCCCGAUCCACUCCUUGCAGCCAGGCGAUUCCGUACUCGUCCGGACCUGGAAGGAUGAGCCUCUCCAAGAGAAGUGGAAGGGACCCCACACCGUCCUGCUGGUCUCCCAUACAGCAGCAAAGGUUGAGAGACACAAAAACUGGAUUCAUCACUCUCGUCUGAAAGCAGUGCCUGCUCCUGAACGGUGGACCGUCCAGCCUGCAGAGAAGACUGCCAGCGACGAUUUGGGACUUAAGCUGUUAUUCAGACGACAAUAGUGUCUGCUGAGAAUGCCCUGUGAUCUCUUUGGACAGUCACAGCGCACUCCCUGCGAGACCUCUGAGCGUUGGUUGUGUUUGUUUUCAUAGGACCAGCCUAACCUAGUGGCCUGGUCCCUUUUGUUUUUAAUCUGCUUACUUUUGAUAAUUGUUAUUUUGUGGGUAUUUGGGGAAUUGUGAUUGUUAGGCCCUAGGAUCACCUGCCCAAUAUGAGUUCAGAUCCAGGGUCUGCCACAGUGGUGCUCUUUGCCAUAGGGACACUCCUCUUGUUAACUCCCGUUUCUCCCCAGGCACAUGCGGGAUGGAAAGG